ACGAACGCUGGCGGCGUGCUUCACACCUGCCAGUCGAACGGAAAGGCCUGCUUUCCCUUGUGGAUUGCGGGUACUCGAGUGGCGAACGGGUGAGUAACACGUGAGUGAUCUGCCCCCAACUUGGGUAUAAGCCUGGGAAACUGGGUCUAAUUCCCGAUAGGACUGCAGGGUGGUGCCUGUGGUGGAAAACGAUUUUCUAGUGGUUGGGGAUGAGCUCGCGGCCUAUCAGCUUGUUGGUGGGGUAAUGGCCUACCAAGGCGGCGACGGGUAGCCGGCCUGAGAGGGUGGACGGCCACAUUGGGACUGAGAUACGGCCCAGACGCCUACGGGAGGCAGCAGUGGGGAAUAUUGCACAAUGGGCGGAAGCCUGAUGCAGCGACGCCGCGUGGGGGAUGACGGCCUUCGGGUUGUAAACUCCUUUCGACCGCGAGGAAGCCACCUGGUUGGAAGGGUGGUGACGGUAGUGGUAGAAGAAGCACCGGCUAACUACGUG
rnacentral:rRNA from 1 species